rnacentral:rRNA from 1 species
GUGUCCGUAGGUGAACCUGCGGAAGGAUCAUUA